GACGAACGCUGGCGGCGUGCCUAAUACAUGCAAGUCGAACGCAGUGGGGACGGGUGAGUAACACGUGGGUAACCUCCCAUCAGAGGGGAUAACACUUGGAAACAGGUGCUAAACCGAUACUGAUGGAUGGACCCGCGUGGCAUUAGCUUGUUGGUGAGGUAACGGCUCACCAAGGACACGAUGCAUAGCCGACCUGUGUGGUGGAUCGGCCACACCGUGACUGAGACACGGCCCAGACUCCUACGGUAGGCAGCAGUAGGGAAUCUUCGGCAAUGGACGAAAGUCUGACCGAGCAACGCCGCGUGAGUGAAGAAGUUUUUCGGAUCGUAAAACUCUGUUGUUAGAUAAGCGGUAUCUAACCAGAAAGCCACGGCUAACUACGUGCCAGCAGCCGCGGGAAUUA
rnacentral:rRNA from 1 species